rnacentral:lncRNA from 1 species
GACUCAAUUAAAUUACAGGAUCUAGUUUACAAUGGAACUUUGGCUUGGUCUGACUGAAGAUCUUAAACUUAGCGCUUGUUGGGAGGCAACCCAAUAUUUUAUUUUUUAGCUAUUCAGUUUUUUUUAUUUUAUAAAAAUUUUUGAAAAGGAUAAUUAGCCAAGUUGGGGAGAGCACUAUAAUCAAUGGAGUCAAGAACACACUAGC